UUUGGGUUAGGUUGUAGAUGGAUGUGUAAAAGAAGCAGUAUAUUGAUAAAAAAAAAUAUAUAUAUAUAUUUCCAAAAUCAAAAGAGCGAUUAGGUUAAAAAAAUAAAGGAUUUCUAAUCAUCUUGUUUUGUUAUUUUAUAAUAUAACGAACAGAAACCUAUUAAAGAUAGAGAAUCCAGUUAGCAGUCUACCUGUUUAUGAGGUAUUUAGUGCUUUCGAAAUCUAAUACCUUAUUUUUUUUAAUUAAUGGGUUUACCCAUUUUUUGUUUGAGGUGAAUUCAAAAUUGUGGAUGAGGUGAUUAUCCAGUUAGCAGUCUACCUGUUUAUGAGGUAUUUAGUGCUUUCGAAAUCUAAUACCUUAUUUUUUUAAUCAUUCCGGAUAACGCUUGCAUCCUCUGUAUUACCGCGGCUGUGAGUUAGCCGAUGCUUAUUCCCCUGAUAUUAAACAAAUAAAGGAUUUCUAAUCAUCUUGUUUUGUUAUUUUAUAAUAUAACGAACAGAAACCUAUUAAAGAUAGAGAAUCCAGUUAGCAGUCUACCUGUUUAUGAGG
rnacentral:lncRNA from 1 species